CUUCGCUACACCACACAGUGCAAUAGAGCCGGGGUAAGAAACUGGAAAUUCGAAAAUGUUCAACUUCAAGAUGCCUUUGGGCUAAAGCGAUGAAUCAGGGUGGCGGUAGGUAUUAUAAAAAUGAACGUGUGAAGUGGAAGUAAACCAGUUACGUUGGUGCCUUCAAACUGACUCCAUCGUCGGCAACAUAUUGCAUAUUCGGCUGUCAAACAUGCGUAAGACAAAAUCGUUCAUUCAUUUUUGCAUUUUCCAGCAGCCCUACUAACUACAAUGUUUCCCUCACUAGUUCAUUGUAUGGAUCGAUUACUGAACUGUUUAAUUUUUGAAUUUGGAGGGGGCUACGAUGUCAUGCUGCUGUUUGCUUUUGCCAUUUUGAUGGCUACAUCGGUGGGUACCGAUGGGUUUGUCCUCAUCUGGACACUAGACUACACAACCCCUACGCCCUACUACACCACCUCGUAUGCUGCUCCCUCUUACAGCACCAAGGUUCUCUCGAAUAUUCUACCACAUAUGCAGCUCCCAGCUACUACACCUAGUCUCCCAACUACUUACUACACGACCAGAACGCCCAAAUACUACACGACCAUAUACUCCGCUCCAACAUACUAAACUCAAGCCAUUAAAUACUAUGCUACUCAAAGGUUAUUGAUUGCAGAGUCAGAGACCAAUGUGUGGAAUCUGCCAAUGUUCUAGCCCUCGAAACCCCAGCUGCCCUUCUGCUUCAACAAGGGUAUAAAGCAAUUAUAAUUUCAGGAGGUCUCAACUCAGUUUACGCAGCGGAUGCCCCACUAUACGACCCAACAAUCUUUACUUGCGAUCUUCCAGUGCCGGGGAUUUGUUAUGCAUGCAAUUACUCAACAAGGAAUUAGGUGGAACGGUGGAGAGAAAAGAUGUUUGCGAAGAUGGGCAAUUCGAGAUCCAAGUAGAAACGGAGUGUCCAUUGUUUAAAGGCUUAGAGACUCGACAAACAGUAUUACUGACCCAUGGUGACAGCGUAGACAAGGUUGCAGAAGGGUUGCGUUGCGUCGCAAAAUCUUCGCGUCAUAUUAUUUCCGCUAUUGCUGAUACUGAACGCCGUCUUUACGGAGUCUAGUUCCAUGAUUUGACUGAAAACGGGCGAAAAAUGUUGCAUAACUUCUUGUUCGACAUUUGUGGAUUGCAAGGAGCAAUGGGCUAUCCCGCAUCUGCAGCACCUACACCUGCACCAGUGAACUAUCCUGCACUUCCAGCGAUGCCAAUUUCUGCGUCAUCGCCUCUUCCGAGUCCUCCCUAUUCAAUCAGUGCCGCACUUCCUGUAACUACUCCUCGUCCGUAUCCGAUCAAUUUCUCUUCAAUCUAUUAAUGAAACAUGGCCUUCCUUAAUGUUGAGAGGUAUGCCAA